rnacentral:rRNA from 1 species
GAUGAACGCUGGCGGCGUGCUUAACACAUGCAAGUCGAACGGAAAGGCUCCUGCUUGCAGGGGUACUCGAGUGGCGAACGGGUGAGUAACACGUGGGUGAUCUGCCCUGCACUUCGGGAUAAGCCUGGGAAACUGGGUCUAAUACCGGAUAGGACCACAUUCUGGAUGGUGUGGUGGAAAGUUUUUCGGUGUGGGAUGAGCUCGCGGCCUAUCAGCUUGUUGGUGGGGUAAUGGCCUACCAAGGCGUCGACGGGUAGCCGGCCUGAGAGGGUGUACGGCCACAGUGGGACUGAGAUACGGACCAGACUCCUACGGGAGGCAGCAGUGGGGAAUGUUGCACAAUGGGCGCAAGCCUGAUGCAGCGACGCCGCGUGGGGGAUGACGGCCUUCGGGUUGGAAACGCCUUGCGCUAGGGACGAAGCGCAAGUGACGGUACCUGGAGAAGAAGCACCGGCUAACUACGUG